rnacentral:rRNA from 1 species
UACGUAGGGGGCAAGCGUUGUCCGGAUUUAUUGGGCGUAAAGAGCGUGUAGGCGGCUUCACAGGUCCGCUGUGAAAACUCGAGGCUCAACCUCGAGCUGUCGGUGGAAACCGUGUGGCUAGAGUCCGGAAGAGGAGAGUGGAAUUCCCGGUGUAGCGGUGAAAUGCGCAGAUAUCAGGAGGAACACCAAUAGCGAAGGCAGCUCGCUGGGACGGUACUGACGCUAAGGCGCGAAAGCGUGGGGAGCGAACAGG